ACGCUGGCGGCAUGCCUAACACAUGCAAGUCGAACAAAGUGCCUUCGGGUACUUAGUGGCGCACGGGUGCGUAACGCGUGGGAAUCUACCCCUUGGUUCGGAAUAACAGUUGGAAACGACUGCUAAUACCGGAUGACGACGUAAGUCCAAAGAUUUAUCGCCGAGGGAUGAGCCCGCGUAGGGUUAGGUAGUUGGUGUGGUAAAGGCGCACCAAGCCGACGAUCCUUAGCUGGUCUGAGAGGAUGAUCAGCCACACUGGGACUGAGACACGGCCCAGACUCCUACGGGAGGCAGCAGUGGGGAAUAUUGGACAAUGGGCGAAAGCCUGAUCCAGCAAUGCCGCGUGAGUGAUGAAGGCCUUAGGGUUGUAAAGCUCUUUUACCCGGGAUGAUAAUGACAGUACCGGGAGAAUAAGCUCCGGCUAACUCCGUGCCAGCAGCCGCGGUAAUACGGAGGGAGCUAGCGUUAUUCGGAAUUACUGGGCGUAAAGCGCACGUAGGCGGCUUUGUAAGUAAGAGGUGAAAGCCCAGAGCUCAACUCUGGAAUUGCCUUUUAGACUGCAUCGCUUGAAUCAUGGAGAGGUCAGUGGAAUUCCGAGUGUAGAGGUGAAAUUCGUAGAUAUUCGGAAGAACACCAGUGGCGAAGGCGGCUGACUGGACAUGUAUUGACGCUGAGGUGCGAAAGCGUGGGGAGCAAAC
rnacentral:rRNA from 1 species